rnacentral:lncRNA from 1 species
GCCAACAAACCAGAACAAAACAAAUCAUACCUGAAGGCCUGAGUCAGGAGAGCUAUCACAAACUAAGGAUCACCAAACUUGGAAUAACGAAAUUUGGGGGCCUCAUUCUACAUCCUCGCCAGAUGAGAUUUCUACUUCACUCUUACUUCUGAGGAAGUCUCUGGACCAACUGAGUUACAAUGUGCAUCAUGAUUUAUAAAAUGAAAAGUCCCUCUCUGCUACAUUUUACGAACAUUUCUAUUUUGAGAGGUCAAGAGAGACCAGACCUAAGAACACUGUAAAUCUGGAACAAUAGGAGGGAAAACUGAUGGUAUCAGAUGACUUUGCCCCUCUGUCAGGAACAGUCCAAGAGGUAGGCAACAGAUGACAGCUUAUAUCCUGGGAAGGGAAUCUCUUGCAUAAGGUCAAGCUUGGGAACACAGCG